GACGAACGCUGGCGGCGUGCUUAACACAUGCAAGUCGAACGGUAAGGCUCCAGCUUGCUGGGGUACACGAGUGGCGAACGGGUGAGUAACACGUGGGUGACCUGCCCUGCACUUCGGGAUAAGCCUGGGAAACUGGGUCUAAUACCGGAUAGGACCGCACCUACGGGGGGAGGUGGAAAGUUUUUUCGGUGUGGGAUGGUGCCGGGGCCUAUCAGCUUUUUGGUGGGUUAAUGGCCUACGACGGCGGCGACGGGUAGCCGGCCUGGGAGGGUGGACGGCCACAAUAGGACUGAGGGACGGCCCAGCGUGCUACGGGAGGCAGCGGUGGGGAAUAUUGCCCAAUGGGAGGACGCCGGAUGAAGAGGCGCUGGGUGGGGGAUGACGGCCUUCGGGUUGUAAACUCCUUUCGCCAAAGACGAAGGGUUUCUGACGGUAGAUGGAGAAGAAGCACCGGCUAACUACGUG
rnacentral:rRNA from 1 species